rnacentral:rRNA from 1 species
UACGUAGGGGGCAAGCGUUGUCCGGAAUCAUUGGGCGUAAAGCGCGUGUAGGCGGCCCGGUAAGUCCGCUGUGAAAGUCGGGGGCUCAACCCUCGAAUGCCGGUGGAUACUGUCGGGCUAGAGUGCGGAAGAGGCGAGUGGAAUUCCUGGUGUAGCGGUGAAAUGCGCAGAUAUCAGGAGGAACACCAAUUGCGAAGGCAGCUCGCUGGGACGUGACUGACGCUGAGACGCGAAAGCGUGGGGAUCAAACAGG